AAGUAGUGCCUAUGCGCUAUUUAGUGGCAAACGGGUGAGUAACACGUAGCUUAGCUGUCCUAAAGUGGGGGAUAGCCGCGGGAAGCCGCGGGUAAUACCGCAUGUGAUCUACGGAUUAAAGCUUAAUGCGCUUUAGGAGGUGGCUGCGGCCCAUCAGGUUGUUGGCGGGGUAAUGGCCCACCAAGCCUAUGACGGGUAUCCGGCCUGAGAGGGUGAUCGGACACAUUGGAACUGAGACACGGUCCAGACUCCUACGGGAGGCAGCGGCUAGGAAUUUUCCGCAAUGGACGAAAGUCUGACGGAGCAACGCCGCGUGAAGGAUGAAGGUCUUUAGGGAUUGUAAACUUCUUUUAUAUGAGACGAGUAAGGACGGUAUCAUAAGAAUAAGUCCCGGCUAACUACGUGCCAGCAGCCGCGGUAAUACGUAGGGGGCUAGCGUUGUUCGGAAUUACUGGGUAUAAAGGGUGCGCAGGCGGAUUUCUAAGCAAGAGGUGAAAUGUCAAGGCUCAACCAUGGCACUGCCUUUUGAACUGGUUAUCUGGAGUACAGAAGGGGAGAGCAGAAUUUCCGGUGUAGGGGUGGAAUCUAUAGAUAUCGGAAGGAAUACCGUUCG
rnacentral:rRNA from 1 species